rnacentral:rRNA from 1 species
AGCGAACGCUGGCGGCGUGCCUAACACAUGCAAGUCGAGCGGUAAGGCCCUUCGGGGUACACGAGCGGCGAACGGGUGAGUAACACGUGGGUGACCUGCCUCUAGCUCUGGGAUAAGCCUGGGAAACUGGGUCUAAUACCGGAUAUGACUCCACGGCGCAUGUUGUGGGGUGGAAAGCCUUGUGUGGCUAGAGAUGGGCCCGCGGCCUAUCAGCUUGUUGGUGGGGUGAUGGCCUACCAAGGCGA